UACGGGGGGAGCAAGCGUUGUUCGGAUUUACUGGGCGUAAAGCGCACGUAGGCGGCUUUGUAAGUAAGAGGUGAAAGCCUGGAGCUCAACUCCAGAACUGCCUUUUAGACUGCAUCGCUUGAAUCCAGGAGAGGUGAGUGGAAUUCCGAGUGUAGAGGUGAAAUUCGUAGAUAUUCGGAAGAACACCAGUGGCGAAGGCGGCUCACUGGACUGGUAUUGACGCUGAGGUGCGAAAGCGUGGGGAGCAAACAGG
rnacentral:rRNA from 1 species